GAGGAAGUAAAAGUCGUAACAAGGUUUCCGUAGGUGAACCUGCGGAAGGAUCAUUAUUGAAAUUAUAGGUGAGGGUUGUAGCUGGCCUCUCGGGGCAUGUGCACGCCCGAGCCCUUAAUCCACACACACCUGUGAACCUAUCGUAAGGGCCCUUAAAAAAGGCCUUUACGUCUUAUCAUCAACCCAUCGUAUGUCUCAUAGAAUGUAAAUAUAUGUCCUCGCCUUAAAAAGCGUUGAUAAACUUAUACAACUUUCAACAACGGAUCUCUUGGCUCUCGCAUCGAUGAAGAACGCAGCGAAAUGCGAUAAGUAAUGUGAAUUGCAGAUUUUCAGUGAAUCAUCGAAUCUUUGAACGCACCUUGCGCUCCUUGGUAUUCCGAGGAGCAUGCCUGUUUGAGUGUCAUUAAAUUCUCAACUCUGAUCGAUUUGUUUCGACUUCGGAGCUUGGAUUUGGAGCGUGCUGGCGUCGGUCGGCUCCUCUUAAAUGCAUCAGCGGGGGGGGGUUUCGGACGUCAGUGUGAUAAUCAUGUUGCGCUGUCUGUCUGAUCCGAAAGCCCGCUCACAAUGGUCUUCGGACAACUUCAUAUCAAAUUUGACCUCAAAUCAGGUAGGACUACCCGCUGAACUUAAGCAUAUCAAUAAGCGG
rnacentral:rRNA from 1 species